UACAGAGGUCCCAAGCGUUGCUCGGAAUCACUGGGCGUAAAGGGUGCGUAGGCGGGUCUUUAAGUCAGGGGUGAAAUCCUGGAGCUCAACUCCAGAACUGCCUUUGAUACUGAAGAUCUUGAGUUCGGGAGAGGUGAGUGGAACUGCGAGUGUAGAGGUGAAAUUCGUAGAUAUUCGCAGGAACACCAGUGGCGAAGGCGGCUCACUGGCCCGGUACUGACGCUGAGGUGCGAAAGCGUGGGGAGCAAACAGG
rnacentral:rRNA from 1 species